rnacentral:tRNA from 1 species
GGAGCUGUGGCUCAGUGGUAGGGCAUUUGCUUGGCAUGCAAAAGUCCCAGAUUUCAUCCCUGGCAUCUCCA